rnacentral:lncRNA from 1 species
AUGGAGCAUAACAUCUUAUCAAUGUUUGUUCUUUUUUUCCUUUUGUCUUUGUGUAUAGGUCACACAGAGAUAAAAGUGAGGUCUGGACAAGAUGUCACUCUUCACUGUCAGGAUCCCAGUGGUGUAAAUAUCACCCUGUUAGAGUGGAGCAUACCUGAGAUUAAGAGAGACGGAUACGUCUUCUUCUACCGAAACGGGCGCACAUCCGAAAACUACCAGCAUGUGCGUUUUAAAGGCCGAGUGGAGCUGACAGACCCGUCUAUGAAAAACGGAGAUGUUUCUGUGACUCUGAAGAAUGUCAACAUCAACGAUACAGGAAUAUAUGAGUGUCGGAUUAGAACCAGUGAUCUCAGCAGCGGUCAGAGAGUCCAGAGUGAGUCUAGGAAGUCCAUCAACCUCACAGUCAUAGACUCUGAUGUUCUCUGAGGGAAGCAUUGUCUGUCCAUGCGUGGUAAAGACAGAAGACCAUGCUUGUUAUUUUCCACCAUUUGAUUCAAAAAAAGAAAAGGAAAAAAAAUAAGGAAAAAGUCCCAAACCUU